UCAGCAGCCGCUCCUGGAGGGGCAAUGCCUCUGCCUCAAUGCUCAGGGAAGCUCAGCUCCUGGCUCCGGUCUCGUCUUGCUGCCUCUGACUCAGUGUAGGUUGAAUUAGGGACCCUCUUCUGGUUCUUGGUAUAAUCUUAGCUCGGGAGGAAAUGUUGCAUACCAGGAGGGAGGCAAAGCAAAGGGAGAUUGCCAGACCCAAAUGUUCCAUAGUUGCAAAGAUGGUUUCUAAAUACUGAGCUUUAAAAAUAAUUUGGUUUGCAUGGGGAGGGGUGAGAAGGGGGAGAUCUUUCUACUUGCUUUCUGGGAUUUGGAGUCCAUAGUUUUCUGGGGAUGCAUUCCAAGUUUUGUCAUCAACUAUAGGGGAUAGAAAACAGUCUCUCAUGUUAACUUAAAGCUGAAAUUCCCCCUAGUCCUACACAUUAAAGAACUGGAGCUUUAACCCUGACUAAAUCACAACAAAAUCUUAGAAUCGGCUCUUGCAAGAUGUCUCUCACCAAGAAAGAAAAAUCUAUACAAAAAGAGUUGUUAAACAGUCCUGGGCAAGUGCGACUGUUAAGGGAGCAGACACUCAGAUACAACCGGGAAGGAGGAGAAGCAUUUUCUGUGAUGCAUAGGGAGUUCAUGUAGCCAAAGGUAAGGAGAUAGAGUCACCAUGGUCUACUCCCAAGACCAGCCUCUUGCUCCAGUGGUGUAUUGAUUCGUGGAUCUCUACAAAGCAUACAGACCAGGUCAGAGAUGUCCCUACAAUUCUUUUUAAUCCUCAAAGCCCUUCAUAUGGAUGUUUACAUAAGAUACAGAACUUUCUUUUUCCAUCCUGUACAGAUGUAGAGAAGAGCAGCAGCAUAUAUGCCCAGUGGCAUAUGUGCUUAAAUAACAGACAGAGGGGGACUGAAGGUGACAUUCUGUACAUGGUAAUACCAGACCAGACACAUCAGUUGUAUUUAAAGGCCUGACCAUAACACCUGUUACUGCACACACAAAAACAGUCUCUACCUUCCACGACAUAUUUUAAGAUAGCAGGGAGAAAAAGACCAGGGGAAAGCUGUCCUUUGAUUUUGGUUCAUAUUUAGGGAACAGCCUGGGUUAAUAAUUUAAAGGAGUGCCAGAAGCACUGUCCAGGAGCUCAAACAUACCAGCCUGUGCCACCAGCCCAAGAGGCCACGUGAGGGCCUUCCUCUGCUGCUUUCACAGUGUCUGCACUUGAUAGACUCAUGUUCCCACAUUGUAUUCAGGCAGGACUGAAUAAUCCUUAUCCAGCUCUGAACACAUUGUUAGUGGCUUUCCAAGAUUUGCAAAGGAAAAAGUGUAACCCAAAAUUCUCCAAAGGAAGAAAGCAAACACAACAUCCUGAUUCCAGAUGUCGAGAAACUGCAAUUCCUAUUAAGAACACUUGACUGUUUACUCAGCAAGAGAACUUCAAGCUCAGGCUGCAUCAAUCUAAAUGCGUUUCAGGACGUCAGUCUUUUGAAAAGUGCAGACUGUUAGUUGGUUAUUUUUAAAUGUAAUCUUCACAUUAAAGAUUUGCUGCAUUUUUAUUUUCAUUUUGUCAUCCCUCUCUAUCUCCUCCCCCCCCUUUUUUUUUUAUAAUGAUGGCAUCAAACAUAAAUGUCCUGAAUUUUUAUGUCCCAUUCCAUUUAAGUUUCUCUCCAUGGUGCUUUAUUUAAUUUUUUUCUUCUUUCUUUUCAGCUUUGACCAAAUGGAAGAUUAGUUAAGAUUGCAAACAUUAUUGCAGGAAAAAAAACAAUAAAAUGUUUCCAGAAAUGUUAUGUAGUAAGAAUGUUUGACAUCAAAAAUGUGAAUAUGUUUUCUUACUGAACUUUACAGUAAAGCCCCAAUGGGCUUUGACCACAGACGUAAAUAAAGUUAUUUGUGCAGAUAAAGGCAACUCUGUGUGAAUUUGUUGUUUUGUACCCUGGGCAUCGCUAGUUAACCAUGAUCAGGAAAGUAGACAUGUGAGUAGACAUGUGCCUUGUUUUUUUCUUUUUUUUUUCUUUUUUCCCCCCUUUUUUCUCUUAUCCUUUCACACAUUCAGUUAGUAAAUGCAACGUA